CUUUGACAGUACCAGUGUUAGAGCAGUACAAUCCUCCUUCGUGUGGAUUUAACAGCAGUGGCAUAAGAAGUAAAAUGACUACAGUCAGUCCCAUAUAGAAAAGGAAUAAAGUUACACUGCUAGAGAUACUUCUAGGCCUAUGUAACUGUGCCCCUCCACCAUCCAAGUAGGAUUUUUGUUUUAGUUAGAGCCCUUUCCUCCUUAUUCACGUGCUAUUUAUAAUGAUACAAGAUCUGCUUAUAUACUAAAUAUUAAAGAACUUUUUCUUCUUAAGAAUGAGAUUCUGCUGCAGUGAAAGGAUUCUGCAAGUCACAAAUACCUGAGGCCAUUUAAAGCAGCCAUCUGAAGAACCACAGAACAAAGUUCAACACCACAGCUGAGGAGGAAGUGACUGAUGUCCGACCCCCCAAACAUCUGAAGUACAGGCAGCCAGAACGGGACAUUCCCUUUCAAGGGGAAGGAUGACAAAACCCUCAAUCUAAGUAACUGGUUCACCACCUCCAGUUAGCAAGGAAACUACAUGAAGACACGGCAAAAACAAGAGUGAUGAAUUCCAGUACCCAGCACGUUUACCUCAGUUGUGAUGUUCCAAAUAACUCAAGUAGCAUGUACCAGUCUACAGGAAUCACUAAUCCUGGAGAAUGCUAUUAUAGUACAGAGUUGAAAUUACAAACAUGGUAAGUCUGCAAUUAUUUGCACAAUGCUAAGACUUAUAAAAUACAUCUGUUCGAAAUUUAAAUGAUUUGUUUAGAAGUUUUCAGACAAGUUAAAGGAGAAGUAGAAGUGGGCUUUAACCUCAGGAAAUGGCUUAUCUGCAAACUGAUUGUACACUGACAUGCAAUAUUAGCUUUUUCUUAAAUUUACUUUCAGAACACAGUCCCAAAGGCAGCUUAAAAUACUUACUUGAGAAAUUACUGGAUAAAUGGUACAGUUGCUACUUUCACCAAGUCAAAAAUAUUCUUCCUUUAUUUACAAAAUCUCUUUAAUCCUUCACAUUGAAAACAAAUAAAAGAAUACAGUUACUAUGAUAAAUUACCACUAAACUGUACUUUUUUCCCCCCACAGGAACUGAAGAAUCCUGCUUUUUAACACCAACUCGGAAGCCUGGAUUAUUGAAGAGCGCUCCACAACAGGAAGAAAACCCAAAAUGUAGUUUCAAAACUUGUGAAAAAAGAAGAGAAGAAUUGCAGUAAAGUUUUCCCUUUUUUCACUAUUUAUUCACCACGAGCCAAGUGUCCCAUGUGUGGCUUAACUUUCCAUAUUUUCAAGGAAGUCACAUUCAACACUCUCUUCAAGCUGUUGCAAGAUCUUUAUGCCAUUACUGCCAAUGUAGUCCAUAGAGAGAGAUGUAGAAGCAUGUGAAGUCUGGGACUCGCUCCCAUUUGUUGUAAAUGCACAACACAGAGUCUUGAAGAAGGGCAUAAGCUGCGUGAUGCUAGAUACAGAGCGGAAGUUCAAAAGAGGAAAUUUGUGCUUCUUGGAAAGUCCCUCAGUGUUGUUUGUUUCCUGUAAGCAAACAAACCGAGAUUUACCAAAGGUUUUGCAUUAAGACACAAUGUUGUUAGGGCUUGUCUGAACCCUGUACUAUACACUUUUUUCAUACUAAGAGAUCCACAGCCUACAACUGUAUCACAAUAUAAAUUGUAUAGAUGGUAUACCGAGUUAUGUCUAUAUUUAGAUUCGAGGUUCCAUUAAACAGCCGUCUCACAAGUUCAGAAGACUGCAAAUUUGGACUAGCCUUCAGAAUCAGGUAUCAAACAACAACAGAAUACAGAGAUAUCUCUGAGAAAUACUAAUGCCCCUAUUUUCUUUCCUGGAAGAAUUAAUAUUAAACCUUAACGGUAAUUGAAAAUGCUGUUAUGGUAAACUUUCUUGACAAAGUACAGCAUGCUCUUUUUUAUAAA